AAUUCUCAACUGCCUUUUAGCAUUUAUGUUAAGGUGAAGUUGGAGUUGGAGGAUAAUUGCUGAUGCAACUUGGGUUGCUUGUUGGCUCCUCUUAAAUAGAUAAGCUUUUCUGAUAGAUCAUAGCUUAAUAACACUAAUGUGAUAAUUAUUUACGUUAGAUGUAAAAGCUGUGAGGUAGAGUGACUUUAAUUUAUAGAGAAGCUCCUAUAGAAAGGGUGUGUCUUGGGUUAAUCCAAACCCUUGACUUGAAAAUAUAAUAACAAAU
rnacentral:misc_RNA from 1 species